GGGGAUGUAGCUCAGCUGGGAGAGCGCCUCGUUCGCAACGAGGAGGUCGUGGGUUCAAGUCCCAUCAUCUCCACCA
rnacentral:tRNA from 1 species